rnacentral:rRNA from 1 species
CCUAUAAAUCCAGCGCCAAUUGGCCGCCGAUCAAUUCGCCAAAGCACACAACACGAGCUUACAGCAAAACCAAGCAUACGAAAGCAGAGCAAAACCCCAAGCCUCCACCGCAAGCGAGCCGAGCACCGCCGGCCAUGGCUCCCAACCUCAGCAAGGCGACCGACGACCUGCUCGGCGACGUGGCCGUGGACGGCCUCAAGCAAUCGCCGCGCUUCACGCUCAAGGGCAAGGACCUCGCCGUCGACGGCCACCCGGCCCUCCUCGACGUCCCCGCCAACAUCCGCCUCACCCCGGCCUCCGUCCUCGUGUCCGCUGCCGAGGUAGCCGGCGCCACCGACGGCAGCUUCCUCGGCUUCGACGCCCCGGCGCCGGAGAGCCGCCAUGUGGUGCCGAUCGGCAAGCUGGUUGACACGCGGUUCAUGAGCAUCUUCCGCUUCAAGGUGUGGUGGACGACGCACUGGGUGGGCACCGCCGGACGCGACGUGGAAAACGAGACCCAGAUGAUGGUGCUCGACCGCACCGCCGACCGCCCCUACCUGCUCCUCCUGCCCAUCGUCGACGGCGCCUUCCGCGCAAGCCUCCAGUCCGGCGAGGACGACCACGUUGCCCUCUGCCUCGAGAGCGGCUCGUCGGUCGUGAAGGGGUCCGUCUUCCGGAGCGCCGUGUACCUGCACGCCGGCGACGACCCGUUCGAGCUGGCGAGGGAGGCGGCCAGGGUGGUGCGCGCCCACCUCGGCACCUUCCGGCUGCUGGAGGAGAAGACGCCGCCGCCGAUCGUGGACAAGUUCGGGUGGUGCACCUGGGACGCCUUCUACCUCAAGGUGCACCCGGAGGGGGUGUGGGAGGGCGUGCGCGGGCUGGCGGAGGGCGGGUGCCCGCCGGGCCUCGUGCUCAUCGACGACGGCUGGCAGUCCAUCUGCCACGACGAUGACGACCCCGCCGACGGCGCCGAGGGCAUGAACCGCACGGCCGCCGGCGAGCAGAUGCCGUGCCGGCUCAUCAAGUUCCAGGAGAACCACAAGUUCAGGGACUACAAGGGCGGCCUCGGCCUCGGCGGCUUCGUGCGCGAGAUGAAGGCGGCGUUCCCGACGGUGGAGCAGGUGUACGUGUGGCACGCGCUCUGCGGGUACUGGGGCGGGCUCCGGCCCGGCACGCCGGGGCUGCCGCCGACCAAGGUCGUGGCGCCCAAGCUCUCGCCGGGGCUCAAGCGCACCAUGGAGGACCUCGCCGUCGACAAGAUCGUCAACAACGGCGUCGGGCUCGUCGACCCGGAGCACGCGCGCGAGCUCUACGAGGGCCUCCACUCCCACCUCCAGGCCUCCGGCAUCGACGGCGUCAAGGUCGACGUCAUACAUCUGCUGGAAAUGCUGUGCGAGGAGUACGGCGGGCGGGUGGAGCUGGCCAAGGCCUACUUCCAGGGGCUGACGGAGUCCGUGCGCCGGCACUUUGGCGGCAACGGCGUGAUCGCCAGCAUGGAGCACUGCAACGACUUCAUGCUGCUUGGCACGGAGGCGGUGGCGCUGGGCCGCGUCGGCGACGACUUCUGGUGCACCGACCCCUCCGGCGACCCCAACGGCACCUUCUGGCUGCAGGGCUGCCACAUGGUGCACUGCGCUUACAACUCCCUCUGGAUGGGCAGCUUCAUCCACCCGGACUGGGACAUGUUCCAGUCCACGCACCCCUGCGCCGCCUUCCACGCCGCCUCCCGCGCCGUCUCCGGCGGCCCCGUCUACGUUAGCGACUCCGUCGGCAGCCAUGACUUCGCGCUGCUCCGCCGCCUCGCGCUCCCGGACGGCACCGUCCUCCGCUGCGAGCACCACGCGCUCCCCACCCGCGACCUCCUCUUCCUCGACCCGCUCCACGACGGCAAGACCAUGCUCAAGAUCUGGAACCUCAACAGGUUCUCCGGCGUGCUCGGGGCUUUCAACUGCCAGGGCGGCGGGUGGAGCCCCGAGGCGCGGCGGAACAAGUGCUGGUCCCAGUGCUCCGUCCCCGUCACCGCGCGCGCCGGCCCGGCGGACGUCGAGUGGACGCAGGGCACCGCCAAACCCGUCGCCGUCGAGGGCGCCGCGCAGUUCGCCGUGUACUUCGUCGAGGCCAAGAAGCUGGAGCUGCUGCUCCCGGAGGAGACGGUGGAGAUCACGCUCGAGCCGUUCAACUACGAGCUCCUCGUGGUGGCGCCCGUGCGCGUCGUCUCGCCGGACAAGGACAUCCGGUUCGCGCCCAUCGGGCUCGCCAACAUGCUCAACACCGGCGGCGCGGUGCAGGCCUUCGAGUCCAGCGAGGUCGGCAACGGCGAGGUGACGGUGGAGGUGGCUGUCAAGGGCGCGGGGGACAUGGCGGCCUACUCGUCGGCGAAGCCCAGGCUGUGCAAGGUUGAGGGCGAGGACGCCGAGUUCGCGUACAAGGAUGGCGUGGUCACCGUGGCCGUGCCGUGGUCCGGGUCGUCGUCCAAGCUGUCUCGUGUCGAGUAUGUCUAUUGACGUCUCGGGCUCUGUCUCAACCGGGAGCUUAGCACGUUUUGCGUCCAAAUAAUUUUAUUUAGGUGGAGCUUCGUAUUUGUACAGCUCUUAUCUUAUGGUUUUUUGGUUUGAUUUACCCUCUUUAUUCGAGGAUUUCAUCUAUCUAAACUGAAUCAAUAAAAUUUCUGGUUUUUGUUACAGUGAGUAUCUAUUUUGAAUGGGCGCUGCUACACGUCGGCCGGCGGAUCUUUUUAAUUAAAAUCUCCCCACCUCGCAAGCCAUCGGAUCUCACAUAUCGAGUGGCCGAGUGUCACCUUGUACAAUUGCAACAUAAAUCGUGUUGCAGGAAUUUUUACAACAUAGGUCAAGUUGUAGAUUUUUUUUUUUGCAACAUAGUUCUUGUCGUAGAAAUUUUCGUGACAAAAGUCUUGUUACAGGCCGGUGCAAGUCGACUGAUCCAAGAGUCAAUUUGACAAUGUUUCAGCCAAAUCCGUUAUAUUAACCGCGACGUCGACGAGCCCUACUG